rnacentral:lncRNA from 1 species
GCUGCUCCGCUAGCAGCCGACAAAACACCUCCCCCCACUCUUCUAAAUCCUGUCUCCGCGCGUUCCCAACCGUCGCCACUUCACCCCCAUCCCUCUGUGUAACGGGUUUUUCUCUCGCCGGCAAAAACCCGCGGAGUCAUCGAGCGUCUCUGCGAAGUUUACCAUUUCGAAUUCCGCUGAAGCUCAAGCAAGCAAGGCAGAGAAAAGGCUAAUCGGACCCACGAGAACUUGAACAUGAAACACAAACGGUAAGAGGCAAAGAUGCAGCAGUGGAAAAAAAGAGGAAAAUUGAAUUCAGAACAAACUGGAUUUGACAUUUAUGCUUCCCAGCUAAGAGACGUUGGUCUAAUCAACCUAUGUGAGCAUUCCACUUCUCUUGGGCAGAAUGGGACUAUUGUGAAGACUGCAUGAGCUAAGUCAUGUGCUUUUUUAACUGUAAUGCAUCAUACCAAGAUAAAAUAUUAUUAGCAUGAAGAAUGAAUGCUGGCAAUAUUUCAUGACUAUUUUCAUUUUACAAAAGUGAAAAAUUAUUUACACUGAUUUUUAAAAAGAAUUAAAAAUAAUUUACAAAAUUUAUCCUAAUAAACAGC